AAGACCUGCAGCCAUUAUGAGUGUGCAUUUCUAGGUGAAUAUUUUCAGCCCAUCUAUGUCUACAACCCUGGUGAGAAAAACCAGAAGCUUGAAGACCAUAGUGAGAAAAACUGGAAGCUUGAAGACCAUGGUGAGAAAAACCAGAAGCUUGAAGACCAUGGUGUGAAAAUCCUUGAACCCACCCAAAUACCUGGAAUGAAAAUUCCAGAACCUUUUCCACUACCUGAAGAUAAAAGUCAAGGAAAUAUCAACAAUCCUACUCCAGGUCCAGUUCCUGUUCCAGGUC
rnacentral:sRNA from 1 species